GCUUUUCCUUAUCUGUCUCUAAUACGUUGGUUUAUCUGGAGCCUGUCUUCCUGCGCUCUCAACUUUUCUGCGCUCUUACCACAGCUUCGUAGGUAAAACGCACGAAGACAGGCCCGUCAGUGUAGUUUCUGCUCCCACGGGAGAG
rnacentral:sRNA from 1 species